CAAUAGCGUAUAUUAAAGUUGUUGCGGUUAAAAAGCUCGUAGUUGGAUUUCUGCUGAGAACGACCGGUCCGCCCUCUGGGUGUGUAUCUGGCUCUUUCUUGGCAUCUUCUUGGUGAACGUUGCUGCACUUGACUGUGUGGAGCGCUACCCAGGACUUUUACUUUGAGGAAAUUAGAGUGUUUCAAGCAGGCAUACGCCUUGAAUACAUUAGCAUGGAAUAAUAAGAUAGGACCUCGGUUCUAUUUUGUUGGUUUCUAGAGCUGAGGUAAUGAUUAAUAGGGAUAGUUGGGGGCAUUCGUAUUUAACUGUCAGAGGUGAAAUUCUUGGAUUUGUCAAAGACGGACUACUGCGAAAGCAUUUGCCAAGGAUGUUUUCAUUGA
rnacentral:rRNA from 1 species